rnacentral:rRNA from 1 species
UGCGUAACACGUGGGUAAUCUGCCUCGAGGUCCGGGAUAACCUUCCGAAAGGUUGGCUAAUACCGGUUAAGCUCACGGUGGCUCGGCCGCUGAGAGAAAAGGGGCCCGAAAGGGUCUCGCCACGAGAUGAGCCCGCGGCCCAUCAGCUAGUUGGCGGGGUAACGGCCCACCAAGGCUACGACGGGUAGCUGGUCUGAGAGGACGAUCAGCCACACUGGAACUGAGACACGGUCCAGACUCCUACGGGAGGCAGCAGUGGGGAAUUUUGCACAAUGGGCGAAAGCCUGAUGCAGCAACGCCGCGUGUGUGAUGAAGGUCUUCGGAUCGUAAAGCACUUUCGACCGGGACGAACAAGCAUGGCCACACCAUGCCCUGACGGUACCGGGAGAAGAAGCACCGGCUAACUCUGUGCCAGCAGCCGCGGUAA